AAAGGAGACUAUAAAAGGAGCUGCGGUGAACCGGGCUCGUUCUUUUACGACGGAGCCUAAGAUAUUCUUUGUCUUGUCGGUACUAGAGUCACCGAAAGAGACAUCCUAUUAUAUGCACGUUCACAAGGACAAUGGCGCCAUUGUUCUUCGCGUCUUCAAAGCAGCUACAAGAAGAAACCAAGAUGGAGGGGAGCCCAAAGCAUCUGAGAGAAUUGAUAAAUGAAAGAAACAUGCUUAAAACAUGACCGUUUUAAAGGUGAAUGCUGACCAGUGAGAUGCCAGCCUGCGUGUGAAGAUCCUACAGCAGAAGUGCAUGGCCAGUGACACAAGAACUUGCGAGAGAUGCCAGUCCGCCUGUGAAGAUCCUGCAGCAGGAGUGCAUAGCCAGUGACACAAGACGUGCGAAUGAAAACUAGAUGUGACCAUCCAGAAAAAGCAUAGACAAAAAAAUGCAGUCUUAGUACUGGGAUGUUUGAGAUGGGGUCUAUCUACAUGUCUCUAGCUGUCCCUAUCAGGACAGCAUCUGGUGUGGCCUGCAGAGUUGAUUCCUGUACUUUUUUUUUUUUGUGGGCUGUAUGUAAAUGGAUUGUUUUGACAAUCCAUUCGACAGUGUUCUCUUCUGUGAAGGUCAUAGGUGAGCUGAUUGACAGACACAGCUGUACAGACUGAAUGCAAUCCUGACUAUAAAGCUGCAGUUCAUCAUUAUGAGCUAUUUCCUUAUUCUGGCAGUGAUUGAAAUAAAAUGGGGAGUAUUGAAAUAAAAAACAUUCAAUUGCAA
rnacentral:lncRNA from 1 species